rnacentral:rRNA from 1 species
CUAUACAUGCAAGUCGAGCGAACUGAUUAGAAGCUUGCUUCUAUGACGUUAGCGGCGGACGGGUGAGUAACACGUGGGCAACCUGCCUGUAAGACUGGGAUAACUCCGGGAAACCGGAGCUAAUACCGGAUAACAUUUUCUCUUGCAUAAGAGAAAAUUGAAAGAUGGUUUCGGCUAUCACUUACAGAUGGGCCCGCGGUGCAUUAGCUAGUUGGUGAGGUAACGGCUCACCAAGGCAACGAUGCAUAGCCGACCUGAGAGGGUGAUCGGCCACACUGGGACUGAGACACGGCCCAGACUCCUACGGGAGGCAGCAGUAGGGAAUCUUCCGCAAUGGACGAAAGUCUGACGGAGCAACGCCGCGUGAGUGAUGAAGGCUUUCGGGUCGUAAAACUCUGUUGUUAGGGAAGAACAAGUACAAGAGUAACUGCUUGUACCUUGACGGUACCUAACCAGAAAGCCACGGCUAACUACGUGCCAGCAGCGGCGGGUAAUAAA